rnacentral:rRNA from 1 species
UACGGGGGGGGCAAGCGUUGUUCGGAAUUACUGGGCGUAAAGGGCUCGUAGGCGGCCAACUAAGUCAUACGUGAAAUCCCUCAGCUUAACUGGGGAACUGCGUGUGAUACUGGAUGGCUUGGAUUUGGGAGAGGGAUGCGGAAUUCCAGGUGUAGCGGUGAAAUGCGUAGAUAUCUGGAGGAACACCGGUGGCGAAGGCGGCAUCCUGGACCAAUAUUGACGCUGAACGGCGAAAGCUAGGGGAGCAAACGGG